rnacentral:rRNA from 1 species
ACGCUCGACACCUACGAGAGGCAGCAGUAGGGAAUCUUCCACAAUGGGCGCAAGUCUGAUGGAGCAACGCCGCGUGAGUGAAGAAGGUCUUCGGAUCGUAAAACUCUGUUGUUAGAGAAGAACACGAGUGAGAGUAACUGUUCAUUCGAUGACGGUAUCUAACCAGCAAGUCACGGCUAACUACGUGUCAGCAGCCGCGGUAAUCUGAGCGGGCUGGCAAGGC